GAUGUAGCUCAGUGGUAGAGCACUUGCCUAGCAUGCAUGAGGCCUGGAGUUCCAUCCCCAGCACA
rnacentral:tRNA from 1 species